ACAGCAGUAAGAAGAAGGCGCUGUUUGUGUUAGCACUAGCGAUGCUAACAGCUAACAACGGUCAGCCCAGCUAACGUUAGCAGGAUGGCUCCACUGGAGAUGCUAACACAAGUCUCAGUCUCCAUAACAACGACAACUAAUGUCUGACUCACCGGAAGUACGAGCUGCAUUCACAGAGGAUGAUCUUGUGGACCUGAAACUCCACGUCCUGGACUCUGAUGACGGCAUCACAGAAGUGACCCUCCAGACGGAGAUCAUUGAAUACGUAACCUGUCUGGGGUGAAGAUUUGCUUUUGUCAGUCAUCUUUAGUAGACUUUGCAGCUACAACCAGCUCAACAUCCCAGCUGUGAAACCCAGAGACAAAGCCCUUCCAGCCCAGCACAGCAGGGUGGUAAACGCAGAAUCUGUCCCUCUGCACGCCUCACACUGGUCAGAUCUUCAGACAUGAGGAGUUCUGAAUGAGCAGAGUUUGGAUCCAGAACCACAGGAGUGUAGGAGACCGUCUCCUUCAUCUUGUUGCAGAUGUUGUAGCUCAGGUUGCAACAUUAAAACUGGGGCAACUCACCAUCACAUUGUCUGUGUUUUUGGUAUCUGGAACUGUUUCAUAUGGACUCUUCAGUAACUCAGAAGAGACGCUAAUGUAUGUAACAUCAUUUCUCUGACGCUCUCCUUCCUUUUAAGUGCAGUAAACCAGGUACAAGUUUCAGUUUCCUCAUAUUUAUCACCCACACUUUUAUCAGCUCUUGCUUCAUAGCUGCAGAAUAUUUCAAUGAAACCAUUAACUUGAUUCAUAUUUGACAGUUUAAUAUACGAUGAGGAAAUCCAACAAUGCUGUUAGUUAUUCUACAAAUAAAGAGACUAAAAUAAUAGUAAAUUAAUACACAUCACUGCCACAAGCCCAAAGAAGUAUUUAUUUUAAAACACAAAUUCAUUAGCCAACCAGACUGUUGGACAGUUUGUCAUUGUUCUGUGUGUGCAUGUGUGUGUGACUCAUUUAACCUUUAUUUAACCAGGUGAAGUCUCACUGAAGUCAGUGAUCAUGUUGAUGGAUGUAGACAACAGAACCAGCAUCAUAACAGACUCUUUGAUACAAAAUGAAACGCUGAAAUAAAAGUACUGUUUGUUGUAGUAUAAAGGUUUUGAUUUACACUCGUGCACAAACAUGACUAAUGCAGUUACAGACUGAAGUGACUCACAGUGUUGUUAAUGUGCCUGGUUCUGAUUUUUAUUGAUUUGUUUGUUCCUGAAAUGUCAGACAGCUGUUAGAAAAUGCAAGAUAUAUAACGCUAAUUAAAUAUUGGAAACGAGGUCUGAGGUGAUUCAAACAGAAUCAAUACAUUAUUUGUCUCUCUUCAUUCACUAACAAAGUUUUUAUAAGAUCCUUUCUGGUUCCCCUCAUCUUUUGGCGGGAGUACCAAACUCUUGGUUUACUGUUUUAUUUUUAUUUUUUAAAUGGAUUUUAUUGAUUUUUAUCUAUACAAAGCAGCUUACUGGCUUUUAAAUGUUUAAUUUUAGUUUAUAAUAACGCAUACAUCAUGUUUGUUUCUCCGUUGUUGUAGCUGGCAUUGUUAACUUACAUCGCCAGCUAACGCUAGCUGGCUAGCUAGCCGGCUGAAGGCAGGACGGAAGUGUUCCCAUAGCAACCAACCAGAUUCCAGGAAGUUUACCACAACUUUCUUCAGCAGUUCCCUUUUAUCUUCAUCACACAGCAAUCAGUCAAGUUAAUGCCUUUAUUUUCUUUUUGUUUAUAUGCAUGUUUUAAAUGUAUUGUUAUAAAAUAUUUUAAGGUCGAGAGGUCUCACGGGGCAAAACCGGAAAAGGGCGUGGCUUCGGCACUAAUUGGUUCCUAUGGUAACAACGCAGCUCUUCCUCUAUGGCUAGCUAACGUCAGUUGGCGGUGUAAACUAGCAAUGCUAGCUACAACAAUGGCGAAAGAAGCAGGAUUUAAGCAUUAUGAUAACAUUGAAUUGAAUAGUAUGGUUAUAACAAAAAGUCAAAACAGUAGGCUAAGAGCUGAGGAGGAAGAAACGCCUCUGCUUCUACUGACAGGAUCAACCCAGCCCGCCUCUUCAGACCACAGCACGGUGAGCCGCUCCCAGGUCAACCUGCUGCAGCCACACCUGGAACCACCUUCACUGCUAGAAUUACUCCCUGAAGGAAAAUAUGCGGUUUCUCAUCAAAGUGGUAUGGACAGUUUAGGUCGUAACGGGCGGAAUCAGCUAACGAAUUAGCAGGAAACAACAAACUUGUGAAAACAUCAAACUUCCGCUAAAAAUGCCAGUUAGCUAGCAGUUAUACGUGACAGUCAGUGCAGGGGAGCUUCAUGUAACGUGGAUAUUACGACUACUUCGCCAUCCUGAGGAAAAGGUGAAAGAUCUUCAAUCAAGAUGGACAGAUUUCUACAAACCCCGGCUGGAGGAUGUUUCUCAGCCCAGAAUAGAGCACAUCAAGUCUUUUCUCAGCUCCAGCUCUCUUGCGCCCCCCUGUGGAGAGUUUUGGCUCUGUUGUUCAUCGUGUCCUGCAGAUUGAGUCCUGGUGUCUAAAAUGCAGCCUGGAGCAGUUGGUUACGUAACUGAGGAGCCCAGAUUAUAAUCCCACGACCGUCCCCUGUGACAUUAAUCCCAUCUGAUGGAGCUGAUGACAAAAGAUGUGACGUAGGAAUAAAGAUGUGAUGAGACGUCAGCGUGAGGCCGUGGCUACUUCCUGGAAGUCUCAGUAGAAAAGAUGUGGUUUCACACUGCUGAUAAUCUGCUGACCAUCAGAACUCUGUCUGUUGAGAUGGAAACGCAGCCAUGUUGACGGAGAGACACGGGAAAGAUCUUCGUCUGUCCACCUGCUAGAACAUCAAACUGACUGUUUGACUCGGUGACGAGAGCUGAAACAAAAACCUGAUCAUCUGAAUAUUGAUUGUCACGGUAAAACUUCACGUGGAAUUUCUGCUUGUUUCAGUUUACGUGACAGUAACGUGAAUAUCUUUUUAACUUCAGGAACAUGUGACCAACUGAAACUAGGUUUUUGUGGGUGAUACUAUAAUAAUAAUAAUAGUGCAUAUACAUUUUUUUGAUGAAGAGCCAUUAAAUUUGGUUCAAACAGAAUUGUGACUGAACAUUUUAGUGUGAAAAUACAAGUUGUCAGUGAUCUCUUGGACACCUUGUCUGUAGGUUAAUUUAAACAUGGAGAUUCUGUACUGACAUUGGAUUGGUCUGAUGACUCAUCAGCUGACAUCAUUUAUACCAACUGGAUGUGUUUGUGGCCCAACUAGUGACAAGAAAUGCCAAAAAAUAUUAAUGUUAAUCCUGUGGUCUUAUAGUUGGUCUAAUCAGUUCAUCUUGUUCACAAUCCUUAACCACCAAAUGUAAUGGUUCCUCAUCAGAACAGUCCAGUCCAGUUAUAUGUUCCAACAUGGCGGCGUGUUCCUGUAACAGCUGAUAAACCUGCUCUCAGACAUCACAGAUCUGUACGUCACUUUUCUUUAUAUUCUGCUUCUCGUCGCUCGCUGUGCUCUCAGGAGUGACGUCAGCUGGAGUCGCAAACAACAGCGUCGCCUCUGAAAGUUGCAAACCAACCCGUCGUCUUCUUUGUUCUUCCUCCUCGUGUUUAAAAGCUACUUAUUUACACAGUAAACCAGAGAUUCGUACACAGUAACGUUUUUAAUCCUUUCUCACAAACAGGAGCUCUCGACGGCACCAUUUGGCAUCCCAGGAGAGGAAACUGUCGCCGCUUGAAGGACGGGGUGGUGGUCUGAGUGCUGUAGCCGCUGGAACAGUGCAGAGAGUCCCUGCUGCUCCGUGGGGCGUCCGAAUUCAACGCACCCAACGUCAACGCCAGCUGAUCCCGGGCCGAGCACGACUGCGAGGAGGAGAGG